rnacentral:lncRNA from 1 species
AUGGAGAUAGUGCUUUAUGACCCGAGUCUGGGAUGGAACGACAGGGACAAGUCCCAUCCUGCAUCUGCAGAGAGGUGCUGGAGUUUGACAACCGGCAGAAAAUUCCUGUCCACCCUGAUUUCCUUUGGCAGCUUUCAUUUAAUUAGGUCCUCAUUACAGCAUCUUUGUCCAGACGGCACCUUAGCUCCAUGCCCAUCGGAUUGCUCCCGGCUCAAAGUGAGUGUUGAUGGUGCUGUGUCAGCCACCCUUGGAGAAGACCAGCUGCAUUUGUUCAUUAAAUUUCAGCCCAACUUGCAGUUGGUCAUUGGAGAUCCUCACAUCUUUGUAAGCCUGUGCCCUGUUCCGGCAGCACUCUGUGUCCCGCCAUCCCCUCCACUGAGACAGGGCAUGAUGAGAGCAGAGCCAGCCCCACCUUGGGCUGGGGCAGCAUUAUAG